rnacentral:rRNA from 1 species
GUGAACCUGCGGAGGGAUCAUUACACAAAUAUGAAGGCGGGCUGGAACCUCUCGGGGUUACAGCCUUGCUGAAUUAUUCACCCUUGUCUUUUGCGUACUUCUUGUUUCCUUGGUGGGUUCGCCCACCACUAGGACAAACAUAAACCUUUUGUAAUUGCAAUCAGCGUCAGUAACAAAUUAAUAAUUACAACUUUCAACAACGGAUCUCUUGGUUCUGGCAUCGAUGAAGAACGCAGCGAAAUGCGAUAAGUAGUGUGAAUUGCAGAAUUCAGUGAAUCAUCGAAUCUUUGAACGCACAUUGCGCCCUUUGGUAUUCCAAAGGGCAUGCCUGUUCGAGCGUCAUUUGUACCCUCAAGCUUUGCUUGGUGUUGGGCGUCUUGUCUCUAGCUUUGCUGGAGACUCGCCUUAAAGUAAUUGGCAGCCGGCCUACUGGUUUCGGAGCGCAGCACAAGUCGCACUCUCUAUCAGCAAAGGUCUAGCAUCCAUUAAGCCUUUUUUUCAACUUUUGACCUCGGAUCAGGUAGGGAUACCCGCUGAACUUAA